UUCAAAUCAAACAGGAAACAAAUGGAAGUUGGAUUAUUUACCAUACUGUGCCAUACUGGCUGUUGGAAAACUGUUGUUUUUUAGUUUCUCUCUUGAUCUUCUGACUGUCAGACAAACUGUAUGCCCCUUAGACUAAACUUUAGACCAAUCUUUUUGAUCAGUGAUCAAUGAGUGAAGGUGAAAGCCUCAUGUGUAGCUGGAACAAAGGCCUUGAAUGCUAAUCAAUGGAAAAGUCUUUAAAUUGACCCCAAACCCCCCACCCCAGUGGAAAUGGUUUGAGGAGGACACAGAUUGCCUCAGCGCAUCUCAAACUAGCUGCCGAUGUGUGGGACAUUUUGGACUGAUGUGUUAGACACUGCUCUUCACCAGUCACACCACCUGUUCGAGUAAUAUUUUUUUUAAGAAUUUAAGAAUCUCUGAUGUAACUGGCUGCUCCUGGUGGAUCAUCAUCUUGCUAAUGUACACAGCUGUUUUUUGCUUUAGAUUUAUAACCCAUCCGUAUAUUAAAUAUCAACAGGAUUCACCUCCUAUA